AGAGAUGAAGACAAGGGAGGGAAGGGAAAAAAGACUUUUCUUUUUUUUCUUUCUAGAGGAAUUCUGCCCAGACUCUCCAGCAGUUGGUAGCAGGCAAGCUUUCUCCUGUGUCGCCUGGAAAAGUUGCAAAAUUGCUCUUCACCUGUAAGAACAUGCAUUUUAUCUUCCAGUCUCUUCUUGUCAAUUUGGAAAUUGCAGACACCCCGGCUCAGGAGAAAUGGCUCUGUGCAUUGGUUUUCCUGGCUGACCCUGAGAAUAAGCAACUCUGUCCGCUUGUUGUCUGAAGUUGUUUGAAGAUGAUUAGAGGAGAAAUAACACCAAAGCCCUGAGCAAUGCUUUGCAGACGUCUAGGGGCUCAGGAUGUGUGAUGUAGCCCAGUUCUAUUUGUUGACAUCCAGCUUUUGAAAGCAUCAGCCUUUGAGAGUGGAACAAUAUUGGAGCUAUGGAGUCACCUUUACCUGGAAAUAUCGAAGGGUCAUGAACUUGUCGUCGUCGUCAUCAUCAUUGUCAUCGUCAUCAUCAUCACCAUCACCACCAGCAGCAGCAGCAGCAGCAGCAGCAGCAGCAAGAUUUUGUGUUGGGAAGGUACUUCCAAAUGCUACAGGGGACAGAAGGUCAUCAGCUAUUGGCCCAGGGAUUAUAGCAUGGAAGAGUUCCUCUUCUCAGAGGAUAUUAAACUUUUUGAGGAUUAAAAUUGUGAUUCUUAUAGCUUAUUUCAGACUUAUCCAUCAUCUAUAAUAUGCAGAAAAAGUAGACUUAUAAAUGUUGGCUAACUAGAGACCAACAUAAUGACUGUGGAAGUUGAUUUGAAAUAGGGCAAAUGUUUUUUGAGACAUUAAAGAACAGCACAAACUUGUUUCUAUUACACGUGCAUUCUUGGAGCCUUGAGUUUGGGCUGGAACUCUGUCAGAUCCUAUAGGAAUAACACAGGCAGGUAAGACAUAGUCCUUACUUCCAGGAAGCUUCUGGGGCGAAGAACUAGUGUUCAGACGUGGAUUUCAUCAACUUGAUAAAAAUAGUUAACAUUUACCUUUAUUGUAGAGCAAAAGAAAAAUAUAUACUAAAAACACAUGAUGUAGGAUUUGAAUGAAGGAGAAAGACCACAUAGUUGGGAGAGAAUGGGAGUCCUCAAAGAUGUCAGGUACCAUUGGCAUUGGAGCUGGAGAAAAGCUGGUUGGACGAUUCCCUGACCCUGCUGUUCAUCUAUGCCUGCAGUACUCUGGCCUCCUCUGAGUGGUGACUCAGUCAGCUCUUAUUUAUCUGACUGCUUAUUCACUCCAUGAUCUAGCUCACCAGGCUGCAGCGUCCAUGAGGUAUGCCCUAUAUCCCUCUCUGACUUCUCCCGCAUUAAAUAACCUAUAUAGGGACCAUUGCCUGGUACUCAUUGUCAAUAAAAUGUUAACGGCUGGACAAA
rnacentral:lncRNA from 1 species